UAUUGGUCCAUCUUUAUGUCUGUCACUUAACAGAGAAGAGAAAUUUAGCAAGUUUGUGUGAGGCGUCUUUGCCGCAGUAAGAGGGUCACAGAAAGUGUUUCAUAACUUAUGCAUGUACGAAAUUCAAUCAUAAGUGCAUAUAACAAUAUUUACCCCUUAUGUUCAUUCUGUAAAUCUGAACUAGAAUCAAUGUGGCAGCUGGUCCAAACUAUUUUGGACAGAUGUCUGUCUGUAAUGUUUUUGUUGCUUCAAUAAACCAAAUCAUUUCUCUAGAUACAUAUGGUUUUGCUUUAGUCUGCAUAUCAAACACAUAACAGUCAAUGGCUGUGUGAAAUUCAUUUUUCUGUUUUGGAAAUAUCCAUCAAAAACAACAACGUUCCUAAUUUUAAGACUUUUCUCGGUUGAUGGGACAAAUUUUUAUGCAUCCAUUAACAAUGUCUGAAAACUGGGACCCUUCUGGAAGACACUGUGCAGAACAUUUGAUGGUCAUUUUCAGCGGUCUAAGCACUCACAGUGCUGGAUCUGUAUUUAGGGCUUCAAGCGAGAGGAAGACUGGGCCGGUGGCGCUGAAGGCGCGCUGCAGUGUCUGCUUUCUUCAUGCCUGCAUCUGGAACAGUAAAUGAAAGGAAAACUGACAGUGGAAUCAGCACCUGUCCCUCCUGCCUCGCCAGUUGUCCCAGGUGGCUCAGAGUGCAGGUAAGAACAUAUCUAAUUGGCCACCCAUCUGCACCCACUGGGGACCAAUUAAGAAAAACAAAAAGUGUUUAAAAAGGACAUUUGGGAUUUGCACUCAAGGAUGAAAAAAAUUACAUUUUCCCCAUUCUCUUGGCUGCAUUUGGAACAAACUGGCAUCUUCUAUGUGACCUUUCUGUUUAACUGAAAAAAACAUGACCGUUAACAUCAUGCACAGACAUUUAAUUAAAUUAAAUCUUGGCUUGUUUCCAAACCAAAAUAAGACAUCAGGUGUGUAAUACAAACAAAUCUUACCGUUUAUUAACAAAAUAAGGUUACUUGAAUGGGUAACAAUAUGUACACAUCAAAUACAUAGCAAAGUCAAUACAACACAGACCAGUGAUCACAUUACACUUACAGUUGGACUUGAAGCGAAUUCAAAAAAGGACCUGAAUUUGAACUUGUUACCUUUUCAUAAAACCAGUGAUGAGCUGCCAAGACCAAUGAUGACAAA